rnacentral:rRNA from 1 species
CGCGUAGGUGGUAGUGUAAGUCUGGGGUGGAAUCCCAGGGCUUAACCCUGGAACUGCCUUGGAAACUGCAUUACUUGAGUCAGUGAGGGGAGGGUAGAAUUCCUGGUGUAGCGGUGAAAUGCGUAGAUAUCAGGAGGAAGGCCUGUGGCGAAGGCGGCCCUCUGGCGCUGAACUGACACUGAGGCGCGAAAGCGUGGGGAGCAAACAGGAUUAGAUACCCUGGUAGUCCACGCCCUAAACGGUGGGCACUAGGUGUAGGGCUCGUAAGGGUUCUGUGCCGAAGGGAAACCAUUAAGUGCCCCGCCUGGGGAGUACGGCCGCAAGGUUGAA